GACGAAGGAUGCAAGCGUUAUCCGGAUUCAUUGGGUUUAAAGGGUGCGUAGGUGGUCUUGUAAGUCAGUGGUGAAAUCUGGCAGCUUAACUGCUAAAUUGCCAUUGAUACUGCAGGACUUGAGUACAGAUGCCGUUGGCGGAAUAUGACAUGUAGUGGUGAAAUACAUAGAGAUGUCAUAGAACACCGAUUGCGAAGGCAGCUGACGAAACUGUAACUGACACUGAGGCUCGAAAGUGUGGGGAUCAAACAGG
rnacentral:rRNA from 1 species